GACGAACGCUGGCGGCGUGCUUAACACAUGCAAGUCGAACGAUGAAGCUAGAGCUUGCUCUGGUGGAUUAGUGGCGAACGGGUGAGUAACACGUGAGUAACCUGCCCCGAACUCUGGGAUAACUGCUGGAAACGGUAGCUAAUACCGGAUAUGACCAAUGAAGGCAUUUUCUGUUGGUGGAAAGAAUUUCGGUUCGGGAUGGACUCGCGGCCUAUCAGCUUGUUGGUGAGGUAACGGCUCACCAAGGCGACGACGGGUAGCCGGCCUGAGAGGGUGACCGGCCACACUGGGACUGAGACACGGCCCAGACUCCUACGGGAGGCAGCAGUGGGGAAUAUUGCACAAUGGGCGCAAGCCUGAUGCAGCAACGCCGCGUGAGGGAUGACGGCCUUCGGGUUGUAAACCUCUUUUAGUAGGGAAGAAGCGAAAGUGACGGUACCUGCAGAAAAAGCACCGGCUAACUACGUGCCAGCCGCCGUAAUAC
rnacentral:rRNA from 1 species